rnacentral:rRNA from 1 species
GAUGAACGCUGGCGGCGUGCCUAAUACAUGCAAGUCGAGCGCACGGACGAGAUGCUUGUUUCUCUGAUGUUAGCGGCGGACGGGUGAGUAACACGUGGAUAACCUACCUAUAAGCCUGGGAUAACUUCGGGAAACCGUUGCUAAUACCGGAUAAUAUUUUUAACCGCAUGGUUCAAGAGUGAAAGACGCUCUUGCAGUCACUAAUAGAUGGAUCCGCGCUGCAUUAGCUAGUUGGUAAGGUAACGGCCUACCAAGGCAACGAUGCAUACCCGCCCUGAGAGGGUGAUCGGCCACACGGGAACGGGGACACGGCCCAGACUCCUAGGGAAGGCAGCAGAAGGGAAUCUUGCGCAAUGGGCGAAGGCCGGACGGAGCAACGCGGCUUGAGUGAUGAGGGUCUUCGGAUCGAAAAACUCUGUUAUUAGGGAAGAAGAUAUGGGUAAGGAACUGUGCACAUCGUGACGGUACCUAAUCAGAAAGCCACGGCUAACUACGUG